GAGUUUGAUCAUGGCUCAGAUUGAACGCUGGCGGCAGGCCUAACACAUGCAAGUCGGGCGGUAGAGAGAAGCUUGCUUCUCUUGAGAGCGGCGGACGGGUGAGUAAUGCCUAGGAAUCUGCCUGGUAGUGGGGGAUAACGCUCGGAAACGGACGCUAAUACCGCAUACGUCCUACGGGAGAAAGCAGGGGACCUUCGGGCCUUGCGCUAUCAGAUGAGCCUAGGUCGGAUUAGCUAGUUGGUGAGGUAAUGGCUCACCAAGGCGACGAUCCGUAACUGGUCUGAGAGGAUGAUCAGUCACACUGGCACUGAGACACGGUCCAGACUCCUACGGGAGGCAGCAGUGGGGAAUAUUGGACAAUGGGCGAAAGCCUGAUCCAGCCAUGCCGCGUGUGUGAAGAAGGUCUUCGGAUUGUAAAGCACUUUAAGUUGGGAGGAAGGGCAGUAAAUUAAUACUUUGCUGUUUUGACGUUACCGACAGAAUAAGCACCGGCUAACUCUGUGCCAG
rnacentral:rRNA from 1 species